AUCACAAAAUGGAUUGCCGCAUAAUUUUGAUGUUCAUUUUCUUCUUCAGAGUAUUCCAUGAACUGCCGGCCGUAAACCCUGGAAUUUGUUUUAAUAAUUCAUCUUGAAACAUCAUCACUUGCUGUCCAAAUUACUAUAAAAAUGGCAGCCUCUGUACAGGGUGUCCCCCAGGAACUUUUGGUUCAAACUGUACCCAAAAAUGUCCAUAUGGUUUUUAUGGGUA